CAGCAGUGGGGAAUAUUGCACAAUGGGCGCAAGCCUGAUGCAGCCAUGCCGCGUGUAUGAAGAAGGCCUUCGGGUUGUAAAGUACUUUCAGCAGUGAGGAAGGUGGGUAUGUUAAUAGCAUACUCAUUUGACGUUAGCUGCAGAAGAAGCACCGGCUAACUCCGUGCCAGCAGCCGCGGUAAUACGGAGGGUGCGAGCGUUAAUCGGAAUUACUGGGCGUAAAGCGCAUGCAGGUGGUUUGUUAAGUCAGAUGUGAAAGCCCGGGGCUCAACCUCGGAAUUGCAUUUGAAACUGGCAAACUAGAGUACUGUAGAGGGGGUAGAAUUUCAGGUGUAGCGGUGAAAAUGCGUAGAGAUCUGAAGGAAUACCGGUGGCGAAGGCGGCCCCCUGGACAGAUACUGACACUCAGAUGCGAAAGCGUGGGGAGCAAACAGGAUUAGAUACCCGGGUAG
rnacentral:rRNA from 1 species